rnacentral:tRNA from 1 species
GGGGUUGUGGCUCAGAGGCAGAGCACUUGCCUGGCAUGUAUGAAACACUGGGUUUGAUUCUCAGCACCA